UGGGGAAUAUUGCACAAUGGGGGAAACCCUGAUGCAGCGACGCCGCGUGAGCGAAGAAGGUUUUCGAAUCGUAAAGCUCUGUCCUAUGAGAAGAUAAUGACGGUAUCAUAGGAGGAAGCCCCGGCUAAAUACGUGCCAGCAGCCGCGGUAAUACGUAUGGGGCGAGCGUUGUCCGGAAUUAUUGGGCGUAAAGGGUACGUAGGCGGUCUAUUAAGUCAGGUGUGAAAGCGUGAGGCUUAACCUCAUUAAGCACUUGAAACUGAUAGACUUGAGUGAAGGAGAGGAAAGUGGAAUUCCUAGUGUAGCGGUGAAAUGCGUAGAUAUUAGGAGGAAUACCGGUGGCGAAAGCGACUUUCUGGACUUUUACUGACGCUCAGGUACGAAAGCGUGGGGAGCAAACAGG
rnacentral:rRNA from 1 species